CUCCCAACUGCCUUCAGACUGGCGCUGCUGGACUUAAACAGAUUUUUGCUCAACUCUGAAAGUGUUUGCUCUUGCCUCAGUUUCCCUUUUAACAGGAGAUACUAUAGCACAGUUCCUGGCUCAGCAAAUGUUACCUAUUUUUAAUGCCCAUGUCUGUGAUCUUUUAAAAAAAUGUACACAAACAUUUAUAUAGCAGUUUCAAAAGUAAACGUAAUAGUUACAGUAUUCACAACAACAAACAUGCACACACACAGAAGCAUGGAAGGGAGGAACUGCAUUAAAAUCAUAACUGUGCUUACUUUCAGAGUGGAUUAUUGCUGAUCCAUCUUUCUACCAUGCUUGUCUUUAUUCCUACAGUGAACAUGAAUUACUUUUGUAAUAAGAAACACAUUAUUCUUUACAGAGCUGCAGGAAUCAAUCCCAAGAAGAUCUGCUAUCUGUCCUUUUUCUCAUACCUCCUCAAACAUGGAUUCAAGAAGCUCCAACAUCAGCCCUUGUUCUCACUGCCCCCGACCCCCGCCAUGUGGAUUCAUUUAAAUUGGGGACUUUAUGGCCACCCCUCCUGGUUCUUUCUGGGCAGAGGGAGAAGCACAUUUGCAUUCUGGAUGCUGGCAAUUAUAGACCAGGACAGAGAAUGGGGACAUGAAUAAUGGAGGUGCCCAACAUUAGCACAACACUCUAUCCAUCACUGCCAAAGGGCAUAAGGUAACCCUGGAAACAGUCCUGGGGAGAGGGGAAGGGAGGGGAGUGCAGGUUCCUGGGCACCAUGAUUUACCUGCUCAGCAGAGGAGGGAACCUCUACACUAGAAGGGGCCACAGCUUUUGAACUUGUAUGUCUAUAGUGAUAUUUAUAAUAUGAUCAUUAUGUGGAGCUGAUUCAUCGUACAAGUGACAAUGUAGAGAUUUUCUAGGCAGGCAUUUGAUUUUAAAUAUAUGUGUUCCCUGUUUGAAGGCAGGGAAUGACCUCUUGUGAAGUUUUGCCUGAAAGGCUUUAUCAAGGAAUGCGUGCAUGCAUGCUAAGUCACUUCAGUCGUGUCUGACUCUUUGCGAUCCUAUGGACUGUAGCCUGCCAGGCUUCUCUGUCCAUGAGUUUUUCCAGGCAAGAACACUGGAGUGGGUUGGCAAGCCCUCCUCCAGAGGAUCUUCUGGACCUAGGGACCAAACCCGUGUCUCUUACGUCUUGUCGUCUGCUUUGGCAGGUGGGUUCUUUACCGCUAGCACCACCUGGGAAGCCCCUAUCAAGGAAUAAUUCUCCAGAAAUCAGAAGGAAGGGUUACUCUGACCAACUGGCCAUGGAUUAAAGAAGUGCACGAUAAUAGGACUUCCCUGGUGGUCCAGUGGCUAAGAUUUUGAGCUCUCGAUGUAGAGGACCUGGGUUUGAUCCCUGGUCUGGGAACUAGAUUCCAUAUGCUGCAACUAAAAGUUCACAUACCCUGACUAAAGAUCCCAUGUGCUGCAAGGGAGACCCGGCGCUGCCAAAUAUAUAAGUAUUAAAAAAGAAGUGUAUGACAGUAUGGGCAGCAGGGGAUGGGGAAGGCUAGGGGACUGCACAGAGUGAUUCUCAGCCCCACUGAGCGAUCAUACCACAGGACACAUUCUUAGACAGGUAAGCUCUGCCGACUGGAUGCCUCCGUAUAUUGCGUGGCACUGGCACGGCUGAGACCCUGCUCUGUCUGAUUCCUGGGCUCUCUGGCUCUCAAGACUGUCUUCUGUGUCCAAGUCAGGAGUGUGUAGGAGACAGUUACCAAACAGGUGAUUUGCAGAAAAUGAUUGCCAGUUUGUACCUCUUUUUUGGUUUCCUUGAGCUGAGAGGGUUAAAAUGGUGAGAAAGCUCAGAAGGACAGCACCCUAAAGGUAAAUGGAAAGUAAAAGUGCGAAAGCGUUAGUCGCUCAGUCCUAUCUGACUCUGUGAUCCCAUGGGCUGUAGCCCGCCAGGCUGCUCUGUCCGUGGAAUUCUCCAGGCAAGAAUACUGGAGUGGGUAGCCAUGCCCUGCUCCAGGGGAUCUUCCUGACCCAGGGAUUAAGCCGGGUCUCCCACAUUGCAGGCAGAUUCUUUACCAUCUGAGCCACCAGGGAAGCUCAGGUAGUAAAUUAGGCAUAGAGAAAGCCUCAUUUUCUGUUUCUGAGAAGUAUUCUUUCUUUCCAUUGUCCACUGAGACCUGAAGGCUACUCUUUCCAGAGGGAAUGGGACUUUUUGUUUCUGUUGGUUUCUGUGUUGUGUGACUCAGCCCUGGUUGGAGCUGAAAUGUGACCUAAAGCCACAAUGGGCUGAGUCACGUGUGCUGUGUCUCCGGCUUCCCCUGAAGUACUUUGUUUGGAGAGAAUUAUAACUGAAAAGGAAACGUUCCUUCUGGCCAGAAACUAGGCUUAGAAAUGCUCAUUUGGGGAAGCUCUUUUUGCUUGCCAUUUAAAUAAACCCACUGAUAGAAAUCA
rnacentral:lncRNA from 1 species